rnacentral:rRNA from 1 species
CCUACGGGAGGCUUCAGUGAGGAAUAUUGGUCAAUGGACGAGAGUCUGAACCAGCCAAGUAGCGUGAAGGAUGACUGCCCUAUGGGUUGUAAACUUCUUUUAUAUGGGAAUAAAACGUUCCACGUGUGGGAUUUUGUAUGUACCAUAUGAAUAAGGAUCGGCUAACUCCGUGCCAGCAGCCGCGGUAAUACGGAGGAUCCGAGCGUUAUCCGGAUUUAUUGGGUUUAAAGGGAGCGUAGGUGGAUUGUUAAGUCAGUUGUGAAAGUUUGCGGCUCAACCGUAAAAUUGCAGUUGAAACUGGCAGUCUUGAGUACAGUAGAGGUGGGCGGAAUUCGUGGUGUAGCGGUGAAAUGCUUAGAUAUCACGAAGAACUCCGAUUGCGAAGGCAGUUCACUGGACUGCAACUGAUACUGAGGCUCGAAAGUGUGGGUAUCAAACAGGAUUAGAUACCCCAGUAGUC